AUUCCUUUUCCAUAAGGUUGUGACAGAAUGUUGAACCAAGUUCCCUGUGCUGUACAGGCUUGAGACCCACCUGGAGGAGCAUGAUGUCACCACAUUGAUGAGCCAAGAGACCUGACUGGAGUUGUGGGGCAAUUGUCUUGAAAGUUCCUAGAGAGAGUGGACAUGGCCCAGAGAACUGCCUGAUACCUGGUGCAGAGCCUGUGGAGGCAAUGAUUGCUCUGGACACUAUACUAGCCCCAGCUGGAGACUUGAAGACCAGUGCCCGGGUCAUCUGAAGGCUCCUAUACUCACAUGGAUGGACGUUGAUGCUGGUUGUAGCCCAGGCCUCUCCAUGUGGUUGCUUUCGGCUUCCUCACAGCAUGAUGGCUGGGUUCCAAGGCCAAGGACUCAGAGAGAGGCGGGUGGAAGUUGUACCUUUCAUGACCAGUUUUGGAAGUUACAUAGUGUCACUUCCCCUAUAACCUAUUCAUUGAGUCAGUCACAAAGUUCUGCCCAGGUUCAGAAGAAGAAAAAGGUUCUGCUUCUUGAUGGGGAGCGACAAGGUUCUGGAAAGGCACGUGGGGCCAGAAAUGUUGCUGCGACCAUUUUCGGAAAUUAUGUUGUUGCUGUUCAGUUGCUCAGCCUUGUCUGACUCUUUGCAACUCCAUGGACUGCAGCAUGCC